GACGAACGCUGGCGGCGUGCUUAACACAUGCAAGUCGAACGGAAAGGCCCUGCUUUUGUGGGGUGCUCGAGUGGCGAACGGGUGAGUAACACGUGAGUAACCUGCUCUUGACUUUGGGAUAACUUCAGGAAACUGGGGCUAAUACCGGAUCGGAGCUCCUGCUGCAUGGUGGGGGUUGGAAAGUUUCGGCGGUUGGGGCUGGACUCGCGGCUUAUCAGCUUGUUGGUGGGGUAGUGGCUUACCAAGGCUUUGACGGGUAGCCGGCCUGGGAGGGUGACCGGCCACAUUGGGACUGCGAUACGGCCCAGUCUCCUACGGGAGGCAGCAGUGGGGAAUAUUGCACAAUGGGCGGAAGCCUGAUGCAGCAACGCCGCGUGCGGGAUGACGGCCUUCGGGUUGUAAACCGCUUUCGCCUGUGACGAAGCGUGAGUGACGGUAAUGGGUAAAGAAGCACCGGCUAACUACGUG
rnacentral:rRNA from 1 species